AAAGGAUUUUCGCCUGUUUUAAUUCAGCCAAUCACCGAAUAAAUAUUUAUACUCUGUAGUUAACAACAACAGCUGAUAUGAUAUUCACACUUUUCCUUUUCAGCUUUCUGUACAAUCAUUUUCACUUUUUGUGGAUACAAAAUCUUCAUUUCCAAUCUUUUUCACUAUUUAUUGAUGCAAAAUCUUCAUUUCCACCGUAAAUAAUUAUUUCCCUCAUUCACAGUAUUAUCAAAAACUUUAAACAAAUGAGAAUAACGAAUGGUCUUGGCACUCCAUAAAAAUGUUUUGGAAUUGGAAGUCCAUUAUUGGUUAAUUAACUUGACAAAAAUGUAAUUAUAGCACCGACAGCCCUUUAAUGUUCAGUGGCAUGCUUUAACUUUUCGAGCAUUUAAUUUUGUCUCUUACUUCAGUUUAUCUCCCUAUCCUUUCUUGUUCCUUUUUUGAUUUUUUUUCCUACCCUGAUUGUUUAGUCACUAAAUGCUUACUUUUGCAAAAAAAUAAAAUACUGAGGAGGGUCAAUACCCAUUAAACAGUACCUAUCCUAUGGAUAGCGACCGCUUGUCAAAUCAUAAUUUUUUUUUUAAGGGUAAUGUCAAAUCAUAACUUAAAACUAGACUUGAGAAAUUUAGGAGGAUCCAAAAUCAGAUAUUUGUUUAGGAGCUUUCCUUUUUCCUUUCUCCAUCCUCCUUUUAUUUCUUCCCUUUUGAGUAUCUUAUUUGUUUUGCACACUUUUGUAUUGAAGCUUUAAUGGGCGUUAGGGGUUUUUGUACUUCAAUGGUAUUUAGUGAGAAAGCAACAAGUAAAAAUUUUAACAGUUCUCUUUAGAAUUUGAAAUGGAUGAGAUAAUUAUUGGCUGUUGAGUUGAUAAACUUGAUAUGAAAUGCAAAGGAACAGAUAAAAAUUUUAAUUUUGCUCUAAUUUGUACACGUUAUUUUUGGCUACCGUUGAUUUUUUUUUCUCCUCCUUUUUUAUUUACUUUUGUCAAAAUUGAGCAUUUGUCCUCCAGGAGAUACCAGUUAGUAUUUGUUUUAGCACAGGUUUUUGUCUUGUUUAACAUAAUCGCUAUUUAAGAUUGUGAAAACUUCAAUUAUGCUGUACGAUUUCCGAUGUUGAUGUUAAUAUUUAGCUUUUCGAAUCAAAUUUGGCUAUUUACUUUUCCAUUUUUAUCUUGAUACAAAAAUCUCUAUUUCUUAUUCAAUUACUGAUUGAAGGAUUUGCAGUACUCUCGAUUUUCAAGUAAAAGGUUGCCGCUGAAGCUCAAGUCUAUGCAGCUGCUACUGUCUUUCUUGUACCAUUUUUGGAGAGGAAGGGAAAUUUUCUGAGAUUGGAAAUGAUUCAGAUAGGUUGUCUUCAAUUGAGUCAAAAAGUGCAUUGGUUGGGAAUGAGCCAAAAAAUGAAGGGUUAUUGUCUGCUUCAUCCUCCUCACAUGGCAAGCUGCUGAAGAUUGUAAUGCAAAAAUACAUAAGGAGCUAUCCAAAUGACUAAAAGCCUUUUUGGUGAUAGCCUCUGGAGACCCAAAUUUUCUUCAUAGUGUUUCAGUCUUAAAUGCAACGUAAUCUAUGAUGUUUGCUUGUAAGAGAGGUGCUGCAUGUUUAUUUGAAGAGUAUAGUACUCAAACUCGCUCAAACGAUGACUAAUGAUAGUGGUGUUUCUGACACAAUACAUUCAGUGUUCAGAGUUUGAAGACUACUGGACCUGCAGGCUUUAAAAGUCCUGUUCACAAUUUUCUUGGAAGAAUUGGCUGCAAGAAGCAUUUGACAAGAUGUCUACCUCUGUCAAAGCUGUAGAACCUGCAUUUUAGAGAGCUGGUCGGAGAGUAGGGACAGAGAUUUGGAGAAUUGAAAACUUCCAACCAGUUCCUUUGCCAAAAUCUGAUCAUCAUAAAUUCUACUCGGGUGAUUCAUACAUUGUCUUGCAGACAUCAACUGCCAAGGAAGCAGCAUAUUUAUCCGAUAUACAUUUCUGGCUUGGAAAGGAUACCAGCCAGGCAUCAUCCGUCUCUCUUUAAUUGUGUAAAACCAUUUUUGAGGGGACAUCUAAGUUUUUUCUGAAACUUUGGUAUAUGAUGAGGCUGGAACAGCGGCUAUCAAAACUGCUAAAUUUAGCCUCUCCACUACCAGCUUAGUGACCCUUCCAUUUUCGCAUUCUUUGACUCCUUGCCAGCCGCAUGCAUUAUGCACAAAUUCUUUGCCCCAUUGAAGAAUGUCGGUUGGGUCUAUUGAUGAUUUCAAAGCCAAAAGCAGCUCACCAUCACUUGAUCUUACUUGGAGAAAACUAAGGAAGAAGAAAAUCUAAGUACCUUGAGAAAGUGGAGGCAUAAGAAGAAUGAUAAGAAAAUCAUCAAUACGUUAAAAUCUAAGUACCUUGAGAAUGUGGAGGCAUAUCAAUACAGCAUUUUGGCUGCUGCUAUUGAUGUUGAACAUUAGAGGAAAAGAUUGCUGCAAUGGCUUAUGCCAUAUUUUUUGUACGUUUAAGUAGGAUGCUUUGCUGUUCCUGCCAAACAACUUCUAUGUAGCACUGCAGUGGCUUCAGCAAUAUAUUUUGAAUCAGGCAUGCUGCUGUAUAUGUAAAUGGUAUACUUGGCUCUUUCUUUUGAACGACUACCAAACAAUUCUUGUACGAUACUCCAAUGACUUUUUCCUUUUGAAU